rnacentral:rRNA from 1 species
UACGAAAGGAGCAAGUGUUAUUCAGAUUAACUGGGCGUAAAGGGCACGUAGGUGGUUUGUUUAUGUGUAUUAUUAAAUUAUAAAGCAUAACUCUAUAAUGUAGUAUAAACAGCAAAACUAGAGUUAGGUAGAGAGUAGUAGAAUUUCUAAUGUAAAGGUGAAAUUUGAUAAAAUUAGAGAGAAUACCAAUGGCGAAGGCGGCUUACUGGUCCGGUUCUGACGCUGAGGCGCGAAAGCGUGGGGAGCAAACAGG